rnacentral:siRNA from 1 species
AGAGAAUUGCUACGCCACGUCAU